rnacentral:rRNA from 1 species
UACGACUACAUAUCAGGCAUAUCAAUAAGCGGAGGAAAAGAAACUAACAAGGAUUCCCUUAGUAACGGCGAGUGAAGCGGGAAGAGCUCAAAUUUGAAAUCUUCAAGGUUCUACCUUGACGAAUUGUAGUUUAAAGAAGUGUUUUCUGUUAGAUGAGUAGCAAAAGUUCCUUGGAAUGGGACAUCAUAGAGGGUGAGAAUCCCGUAUUUGGUUAUUCAUUCUAGCUUUGUGAUACACUUUCAAAGAGUCGGAUUGUUUGGGAAUGCAGUCCAAAAUGGGUGGUAAAUUUCAUCUAAAGCUAAAUAUUGGCGAGAGACCGAUAGCGAACAAGUACCGUGAGGGAAAGAUGAAAAGAACUUUGAAAAGAGAGUUAAACAGUACGUGAAAUUGUCAAAAGGGAAGCGUUUGACACCAGUGUUGUUUUUCCAAAAUCAAUUACGAAUGGCUUGAUUUUGUGUUGUAUUGACCUUAUCAGCUUUCUUCACUUUUUUCGAGUCUUUCUUAAUGCACUUUUCGGUUAACAAGUCAACAUCAAUUUCUUUUGUUGUAAAAGAGUAUUCGGAAGGUGGCUUUCUUUUCGGAGAAAGUGUUUAUAGCCCUAUACUUCUACAAUCGGAGAGAUUGAGGUCUGCAGCGUAGAUCCUUCGGGGUUAGAUACACUUGCGCUAAGUUGUAGCUUUUCAUAGACAACUUGUUGACUAUGUUUAGUCAUGCGGCUUACUCGCUUGUGCUAUUUUACCUACGCUUAGGAUGUUGAGUAGCGACAUACGCAC